CCUGUCCGUGUCCAACCCUGGCAUCUACCAUCUCUCCAAAUGCCAGGGGAGGAGGCGAAACACAGAGCUGUGUAAGUUAGGACUCGCAGUCAAAUAGGUGAAAUAUGCUCUUUGUCCCUUGGCAAUGGUUCGGGUCUGGGAUGGCCCCCACGAGCUCCACUAUAGGAACCUGGUCCCCAUGCAGCCGUGUCCAGAGCCGGGGAUUCUGGUGACAGGGACAAGGAGCUCUGCCCUCAGGCGUGGAUCCAUCUGCGGACCAGUGUGGGUGGCUCUGUGGGCGAAGCUGGCUCCUCCUUGCCCCUGUCCCCCUGCCCCUGCCCCUCCCUGGCCACCUCGAGGGACCGGUGACCAGGAUGGGGAGACCUCAGCAGGGCUGUGUCACGGUGGUGGCAAGAGCGAGGUCACCCUGGGUGUCCCACGGAGGAUGGACCAGGACCGGGCGGUGGGGCCGUGGAACGGAGGGCGCGUGGGAGGGUGGGGGCAGUGGGGUGGGAGGGCGCUGGCCAUGGUCACGCCUGAGAGGGCGUGCUGUCCCCAGGGGCUGGGGGCCAGGGGAGGGUCCCAAGAGACAGGUGUGGUGCCCGCUCCCUGCAGCCGAAGGGGAGGACAUGCAGCACUCAGGACUCUACAGAGGUGGCCACGCGGGGCGGGGGACCCCUGUGGCCCAGCCGUCCCAUACAGGAGCCUCCAAUUAUUCGGCUCCCAAGCCCUGGAAAUGUGAUUGGUCCAGAUCGAGAUGUGUGUAAUGUGUGAAAUAUGCCCCAGAGUCUGCCGUAAUACCCAAAGAGUGUAAAUGUCUUGUUUUAAAACAUGGAUUGCAUGGUGAAGUAGUAUCGUGACUGUGUCAGGUUAAAUGAAAUGAGUGCUUACAAUUAAUUUCCCGAUGUUUUACAUUUUUAAUGAGGUCAUGAGGAAGUUCUAAGGGACACAUGAGGCUCACGUGGUUUCUGUUGUGGAGCACUGGAGGAGAUGGCACUUCGGGGAGUGGGGCACAAGACCAGAUGGCCAGGACCCGGCCUGAGGCCCUGCAGCUCUGAGAGGCCAGGGACCGGGGGAGACUCACCAGGGGAAGUGCAGGCAGGAGUAGUGAAGCGCAGCCCUGGGGACACUUCCUCCUCACUGUGUGCCAGCGUGGGUGCAGGCAGAGGAGUUAGGUGUGGCUGGCGCUGGGAUCGGGUGGCCCUAGCGAGGCUGGAGGAGGGUUGGGGACUGCUGGAUGACUGGACAGGGGCCCUGGAACCACUGCUGGAAGAGCGAACUGGCAGGAGGGAGAAGGAAGGAGGGCAGUCUCUGAAGAAGACUGGAGAUGCCAGGGAUGCAGGGUUGUUGCCAUGGGAACACUGGAAGGCGCCUCGGGGACUCCAGAGGUAGCAGCGAUGGCGCUGCUGCUGGGUCAGGAAGGGGCAGGAGGACAGCUAGGGACAUGGGGGAGGCCAGAGAACAGGUGCUGGGCACCGUGAAUGAGAAGCAUUUGCAGGCCAACAGGAAGGCCACCCUGAGGCAGAGAUGGGUGUGGUGGAUACGAGCUGGAGGAGGAACCAUCCGCCUGCCUGGGUCUGUCAGCGUCCCCAGGCGGGAGGGGCAAGAGGAAGGGGUGGGGGAGGCACAGUCGCUCAGAGAUCCCUGCCCUCCCCCGUAUGCCCCACCUCCCAGCACCGGUGCACCAGGGAAUAAGUUUCUAGCAUAUAAACUUUGGGGGACACAUUUCCAUCUUAGCCCAUGUUUUGUUUUGUUUUUGGUACUGGGGACUGAACUCGGGACCUUGUGCUUGGGAGGCAGGAGGCGGAACCACUGAGCUAAAUCCCG
rnacentral:lncRNA from 1 species